UGCCCUCUUCUCUCCUGCUCCCUCCCCACGCCCGAACCACCACCACCACCACAGCCCCAAACGACGCCGUCCCGGAUAUUAAACCUCCGGUCGGAAAUAAGCCGUGUUUCGCUCCAUCAGAAACUGAUUGCAGCGAUUUUGAACUUAUUUUUGGGGGAGAAAACUUCAUCGGCGCUGUAUAGGAAUCGAAUUAGGGGCUUUUGCGUUGAAUCGCUUCUUCUUCGUGGAUUUUUUCAGGCGAUCGCCGUUCUUCACAAAGAGAUCGACGAGGGAGGUUGAAAAACCGGUCUCCACCACAAGCGAAGACUUCCGACAAGCUUCAAAACCCAUGAAAUUCUGUUAUUCUAUACAUUCUUACGUAUGCUCGCAGUUUGUCAGUAGUUCUUAAAAAAUGCUCGAUUCGCGAAUUGGGUCAUUGACGGAUCUUGAAUUUAUACUGCUGAUUCUACAGAAAUCGAUUUCAAUUUGGGCCCAAAAGGCAAGAACGAAGUUGACCCAAUUCAAUUUUCUAAUUGCAUUUAUCUUUAUCUUUUCUACUUUUGAAUUCUCAGUUCAUUUGAUGUGAUUUCUGGUGGAAAAUCUUAUUUUCUUU
rnacentral:lncRNA from 1 species